ensembl:processed_transcript
AACAAGUUAAGUUCUAAGGCUAGUCACGUUAGCAUCUAAGCUAAGAAUGCUUGCCUUAAAAAAAAAACCAAUGACAAAUUUGGUGCUGCACGUCUAUAAAACAAACAAAAGGUACACUUCAUCUUGUCAUCAAGGCCAGACUUCAGCACAGAUGCAGUUCAGACAAACUAUGACAACAGUUAAUAGUAAUCCAGCCGCAGUGCAUAUCAGCACUAUAUACAAUAAAG